CUUGAGUCAUAUAGAGGUAUUUGUCUGCUACCAGUUCUAGGAAAAAUUUUAGAAGGCAUAAUGAUAAUUCGGCUAAAAGAUAUCCUACCAGAAAGAAACAGAUGGCAGUUUGGAUUUACUACCAAUAAAUGCGUGCCUUUAGAAAUGUUACAGAGACAAUUAAUGCAUGUCAGUCACAAUAUAUACUGGAAUUUUCGUUGAUUUCAAAAGAGCAUUUGACAAUAUUGAGUGGAGUGCAGUUAUGAAUGUUCUUGCCGAAAUUAAUUGCCCGGAAAUAGCAAUUUGGAAAAGCUACUUUUCAGAUAGACCUGGGUGUAUUUGUGGUCUAUAUGAAACUUCGAGUGUGCCUAUUACUAAAGGAUGUCCUCAAGGAUCUAUUAGUGGCCUAUUCAUUUGGAAUUUUCUUAUGAAUAUUUUUCUUGAGAGAUUAGAGCCGUUAUGCCCUUUCAGUGCGUAUGCAGAUGACUUAUUGCUUCUUAUUGCAGGAAACUCAAGAGCAGAAAUUGAAAAUAAAGGUAGACAAAUUAUGAACAUAGUUGGAGCUUGGGGAGAUGAAAAUAGAGUCAAAGUAUCAACAUUAAAAACCGUAAUCAUGCAUCUAAAAGGAAAGCUAAGUAACAAUAGACAUCCGAUUGUGAGUUUUGAAGGGGCAAACCUGCCAUAUGUAUAUGUCCAACGGUAUCUUGGAAUUAUUAUAGGAGAAAGAAUGAAUUUUUUGAAACACGUAGCUGCCAUUCGUGAUCGAAUAUCUAGCACAGCAUCAGUUCUGGCUAGGGUACUCCGUGUAGACUGGGGGUUAAAGCUGCAUGCACGACGAAGAAUAUACACUGGACUCAUGAUUCCAUGUAUGUUGUUUGUAGUGGCAAUUUGGUACCCAGUCAUACAGAAACAAAUUAGAGCAAAGAUUCGUCUUUUGUCAAGUCAAAGGAUGGUUUUACUUAGUUGUUUACCAAUAUGUCACACAGUAUCCACUUCGGCACUACAAGUUCUGGCAGGCACACCUCCCCUAGACCUUUAGGCUAAUCACAAUAAAACAUAAGCUAAAGAAAGGACUGCCACUUGACAAUGAUGACUGGCUAUAUAAUCUGGAUCACACAAAUAUCAACUGGGAUACAAAAAAAGCAUUGCUUGAAGAAACGAUGAUUGAAGAAUGGCAAAACAGAUGGGACUGCGACAUUAAUGGAAGAGUUACACAUAAAUUCUUACCAGAAGCAGCGUUUGUCUUCAAAAACAAAAAUUUCACAUUUAAGCUGAAGGCUGGAUUUUUUAUAACUGGACAUGGAUCUUUGAAUGCAUUUCUCUAUCCUAGAAACAGUCCUAGCAGUUCUUAGAACCUAGCAGUUCUAAACGAAGAUUGGCAACAUGUAUUGUGUGACUGUAUAUUGUAUGACGAUAUAAGAAAUGUGGAUGCUUUGGGAAUAGUUGGUGAGCCUAGUGACUGGGACUUCUCAGGGAUUCUCAAAAAUCCAGAACAGGUGAGAUUACUAAAUUUGUUUGCCGAGGCUGUUUUUAGACGUCGUUCAGGUGUUUAUCGGACGCUGGCCUUGCUCAAUGGGUUGCCAGUUCCGGACUAACGUCAAAACUGGCAAACAAGUUUACCUCAUCCGAGCGUGUGGGCGCUGAAGAGGGAGGGGCCACCGAGCCCUUAAUUUCGGUACCACGGGUGAACAGUGCCAAGGCUGUUCAAUGAGGUUGGCCCCCUUGUGGGAGUUCGUGGUGGCUGUUGUUGACACCCAAAUGCGGGUAGAGCCCUGGGGCUCGACGUGGAGUUGCGUUAUACAACCGGGUGCCCCAACCCAUAGACCGGAAGAAGUGUUAGAUACACUUCGCCCCUCAACAAGAGGAAGUUUUCAGUCCGACUCACAGAUACUUAAAUUGGUACCAGGCUAGUUGCUAUGUAUUUGCUAAAGCUUCUAUUUUAGGGCGUUUGCAGGCGCUUAAACCUGGCACAUGCAUCAUAUACCCACUUGUGGGUAUAUAAGGGUGCCGUGGUUGUAAUCCACUUUCAGUGGAACACGCCACGUUAAAUAAACAAGGAGAGAUCCUAGACGUCCACUGUCCCUAUCUACUAUCUAGCGAAACCACAGCCAAGGGAACGGGCUUGAAAUAAUUAGCGGGGAAAGAAGACCCUUUUGAGCUUGACUCUAAUCUGGCAGUGUAAGGACACAUAAGAGGUGUAGAAUAAGUGGCAGAUAUUAGACUUCGGUUUGGUAUCGCCAAUGAAGUACCACUACUCUUAUUGUUUCCUUACUUACUUGAUUAAAUGGAAUGUGUAUCAUUUUCUAGCCAUUAUACGGAUAUAUUUAUUAUCUCUUAUGGUAUUCGGUUUUGAUGCAAUCUUCUUGAUCAAAGUAUCACGAGUUUGUUAUAUAAUCUCAAACAAAUUCUUUAAUGAGAGAUGCAUUUACUGUAUUAUUGAUUUGAAAAUUUGGUAUAACUCCAAUUACUCAGGUAUGAUCAAAUUCAAGGACAUUGCCAGGUAGGGAGUUUGACUGGGGCGGUACAUCUCUCAAAUAAUAACGGAGGUGUCCUAAGGCCAGCUCAGUGCGGACAGAAACCACACAUAGAGCAAAAGGGCAAAUGCUGACUUGAUCUCGGUGUUCAGUACACACAGGGACAGCAAAAGCUCGGCCUAUCGAUCCUUUUGGUUUAAAGAGUUUUUAACAAGAGGUGUCAGAAAAGUUACCAUAGGGAUAACUGGCUUGUGGCGGCCAAGCGUUCAUAGCGACGUCGCUUUUUGAUCCUUCGAUGUCGGCUCUUCCUAUCAUUGUGAAGCAAAAUUCACCAAGCGUUGGGUUGUUCACCCAUGCAAGAGAACGUGAGCUGGGUUUAGACCGUCGUGAGACAGGUUAGUUUUACCCUACUAAUGACAAAACGUUGUUGCGACAGCAUUCCUGCGUAGUACGAGGGGAACCGCAGGUUCGGACCAAUGGCACAAUACUUGUUUGAGCGAACAGUGGUAUGGCGCUACGUCCGUUGGAUUAUGCCUGAACGCCUCUAAGGUCGUAUCCGUGCUGGACUGCAAUGAUAAAUAAGGGGCAAUUUGCAUUGCUAAACCAUUUAAAGUUUAUUAUUUAUAUUUUAAACGACAAUGGAUGUGAUGCCAAUGUAAUUUGUAACAUAGUAAAUUGGGAGGAUCUUUGAUAACCUGGUGGCAGUUACAUAUGAAAACAUUAUUU
rnacentral:rRNA from 1 species